rnacentral:rRNA from 1 species
UACGGGGGGGGCAAGCGUUGUUCGGAAUUACUGGGCGUAAAGGGCGCGUAGGCGGUUCGCUAAGUUGGAUGUGAAAACUCUGGGCUCAACCCAGAGCCUGCAUCCAAAACUGGCGGGCUAGAGUUCUGGAGGGGGUAGCGGAAUUCCUGGUGUAGCGGUGAAAUGCGUAGAUAUCAGGAGGAACACCAAUGGCGAAGGCGGCUCACUGGACCGGAACUGACGCUGAGGCGCGAAAGCGUGGGGAGCAAACAGG